UAUGUAGGGUGCAAGCGUUAAUCGGAAUUACUGGGCGUAAAGCGUGCGCAGGCGGUUUUGUAAGUCUGACGUGAAAUCCCCGGGCUCAACCUGGGAAUUGCGUUGGAGACUGCAAGGCUGGAGUCUGGCAGAGGGGGGUAGAAUUCCACGUGUAGCAGUGAAAUGCGUAGAGAUGUGGAGGAGCGCCGCUGGCGAAGGCAGUCCCCUGGGUCACGACUGACGCUCAUGCACGAAAGCGUGGGGAGCAAACAGG
rnacentral:rRNA from 1 species